rnacentral:misc_RNA from 1 species
AAGUCGUAACAAGGUCUCCGUAGGUGAACCUGCGGAGGGAUCAUUACCGAGUGAGGGCUCCGGCCCGACCUCCAACCCCAUGUUUUCCGACUCUGUUGCCUCGGGGGCGACCCGGACCUUCUGGACCGGGGCCCCCGAUGGUCCAUCAAACACUGCAUCUGUGCGUCUGAGUAAAGAUUAAAUCAAUCAAAACUUUCAACAACGGAUCUCUUGGUUCUG